CGCCUUUUAGAGUUUUGUCCAAUAGUUAAAAUGGAUAGAAAAAGCCAUUCCAAAGUUUCAUAUUUAUUGUUGGAUACCAAAUAAAAGAUUGUGUCUCACAUUUCCAACUGCAGGAACAUUUCCCACCAUUAUGUGGGGUUCAAUGUUACAAAAUGGCAAUAAUGGCUCAAGCAGCUAUUCCUUUUCAGCCAAUGAAUGGAAUAUAAAUGCAUCAAAACAAAGGUUUUCUUUUUAAGUCAUAUUUGGGGAUGAGGUUAAUUACUUGUUGUACACAACUACAAUAAUGGUGUCAUGCUCCCUUUCCUGAAAUGAAUUUUGCUUCCAAGCAAAUGUAAGAAUAUUAUAGUCUUUGUAAGAAUAAGAAUAUUCAGCAUUUUGGUACGUAUAAAUAACAUAAUAAAACAAAAAUCAAAACCUCAUUAUUGU
rnacentral:lncRNA from 1 species